AUUGUUUGUAUACAAACAUUUUAUACUUGAAAAUAGUUUUACUAACUAAAUUGUACCUAUUUUACUAAAAACCAACACUAUUUUUGGCUGUUUACAAAUUAUGAAAAGGAGAUGUUUGCCAAGCAAUGGGAUACUACACAGCACUACAGCAGAAUAUCUAUCACUGGUUUUAUUCAUUAUCAUCAUAUGUUGAUAAUGUGUAGAAAUGGUGGAAUUUUAUUUCUUAAGCAAAUUAUUCAGAGUACAGAAAUCAUAUUUACAUUUUAUAUUAAUUUAUCUUAUUAACUGAAAUAAGAUACAUGUUCCUCUUGCAAACGGACGGUAGAGAGCUUCCACAAGGUGUCUUUAAUAUGGUUUAAUUUACAUAUGAAUUUUGGGUUUUAUUGGUUUCAUAAAGAUACUUCAUAAUUUUUUUUUAAUCUCUUAUGUACAGACAUAGUUCCACUUACAGUUUUAUUAUAUGCAUAGAUAAUAUAACAUAACUGGGCAGGGUUCCGCCUAUUAUAUUGUGUGAUGUGUGACAUGUUUGCCCUCGGUUGUAUUUUUAAAAAGGCUAAUUUUAAUACCAUCAGUGAAUUAUAUUUUUAGUCUAGUUGUACUAAAUAUAAUAAAGAUGAAAGA